UGUCCCUUCUACUCAAUCUUUUAAUUUUCUAUGGAAUGGUCUCUUUAAAUUUUUUCAUUUGGGCAUUUAGUUGUCUGUCCUUUGAAUUAUGAUCUCUGUUCUCUUCUUUCACUCUCAGCAUCUUCCAAUUUUUAUCAAUUCAUAAAAGAUAUUUCUUUUUCCCAUUCAUAUCGGCUACUAGUCAAUUUGUUAUAAAUAAUAUUAUGUAACGAUUAUUAUGGUCUUUAUGAUGUCUGACUUGCAGUGAAAUUAAUUAAACAAAUGGACCAACGUCGCCACACUCUCACUGUACAAAUAGUCAAUGUCACAAUGGUAUCAUCUUAGAUCUAAUAUUAAAUCUAUAUCGUUCAAUAAUCAACAAUACACAGGAAACUACUAAUUC
rnacentral:lncRNA from 1 species